rnacentral:rRNA from 1 species
GCCUACGGCCAUACCAGUCUGAAAGUGCCUGAUCUUGUCAGAUCUCAGAAGUUAUGCAGACUUGGGCCUGAUUAGUACUUGUAUGGGAGACCAACUAGAGACCUCAGGUGCUGUAAGCU